CGCCAGCCUGACGGAGCCAGACCGCGUGGGGGAGGAAGGCCCUUGGGUUGUAAACCCCUUUUCUCAGGGAAGAAACCUGACGGUACCUGAGGAAUCAGCCUCGGCUAACUCCGUGCCAGCAGCCGCGGUAAUACGGAGGAGGCAAGCGUUAUCCGGAAUUAUUGGGCGUAAAGCGUCCGCAGGGGGCACAUCAAGUCUGCUGUUAAAGGCUGGAGCUUAACUCCGGUAGAGCAGUGGAAACUGGUGUGCUAGAGGGCGACAGGGGUAGAGGGAAUUCCCAGUGUAGCGGUGAAAUGCGUAGAGAUUGGGAAGAACACCAGAGGCGAAAGCGUUCUGCUGGGUCGCACCUGACCCUCAGGGACGAAAGCUAAGGUAGCG
rnacentral:rRNA from 1 species